rnacentral:rRNA from 1 species
ACUCCUACGGGAGGCAGCAGUGGGGAAUAUUGCACAAUGGGCGCAAGCCUGAUGCUGCCAUGCCGCGUGUGUGAAGAAGGCCUUCGGGUUGUAAAGCACUUUCAGUUGUGAGGAAGGUGGUGUCGUUAAUAGCGGCAUCAUUUGACGUUAGCAACAGAAGAAGCACCGGCUAACUCCGUGCCAGCAGCCGCGGUAAUACGGAGGGUGCGAGCGUUAAUCGGAAUUACUGGGCGUAAAGCGCAUGCAGGUGGUUUGUUAAGUCAGAUGUGAAAGCCCGGGGCUCAACCUCGGAACUGCAUUUGAAACUGGCAGACUAGAGUACUGUAGAGGGGGUAGAAUUUCAGGUGUAGCGGUGAAAUGCGUAGAGAUCUGAAGGAUACCGGUGGCGAAGGCGGCCCCUGGACAGAUACUGACACUCAGAUGCGAAAGCGUGGGAGC